GCCAGCAGGUCCUUGGCACUCCUGCAUGCCAGAGGCCCUCUGCCCGGACCCGGUCUGGCCUCCAAGUCCUAGACUGCCCACACUUUCUUAGAGAAGAAACUGCAUUUAAAUGAGGCCUGUCUCAUGGCCUGAUGGACUGCCAGUGGCUGAGUCCAGCAGUCUCUAGAUUGGAAGAUGUUUGAGUCUCAGGCCCCAAGGACUCUCUGGCUGGGCAUCCAGGGCUCUUCCUGUCUCCCUGCCCCCGAUCCACCCAUAAGUCCUGUCAGUUCUCCUCCAAGGUACAUCCCAGGCCCUUCCACUUCUCGCCACCCCAUAGCCAUAGCUGGUUCUGGCCACUCACAGCUCUCACCUGGCCAACUAUGUGGCCUCCCCGCUGGCCUGCCUGCACCCAUUUCUGCCCUUCCUGUUUAGCUCAAUGCAGCAGCUGGCAGCCCUCGUUUAAACCAUUCUGUCCAUUGUGCUUCUGCCAAAAAAUUCCCCAGUGUGUCACUGACUGAAGCUAAGCUUGUCACAGUGCCCUGGGGCAGUGCUGCUGUAGGCCGGGCCCUGCCCAAGUCUCACCUGAUGCCACUCCUCUCCCUGCCACCCUCCAGCUACAUCCACCUUUGGUCUGUUUCUCAGUCAAGCCUCUCCAGGGGCUAGAUCACCCUUUCCCAAUCACAUGACCCUCACCUCUCUGACAAGGUCUCAUGUGGCUAAAUGUGAGUGCCAGGAGGGCAGAGGCCUUGUGUUCUGUUUGGCGCACAGCAGGUGCUUGGUUACCACAGACUGAAUGACAAAAGGAAACAGCAUCCACGCACCCAAGUACUGACUGGGACACCCCCGCCCUCCCUCCACUACCCAGAGAACCCCUUGGCACAAGUCCACGGUCAGCCUCAGACUUUCCUUGGGAAGCUUCCCUGACCCCUGCACUAGCUGAGGCCUUUUCCUCUUGCUCCCGCAGCACUGCAGAGGCUGUGUGUCUCAUCACAGCACAGCUGUCAGGCUUCGUCUGUCCCACCCGGGCUGUCCUUGGAGGGUCACAGCCCUGCCUUUCCCUGGGGAGCCCUAGUCUUCUUGGGCCUCACUGGCCAGAAGUAAACUAAAAGUACAGAACAGAGAAGGCUUUGCAGGGGCAUGGACCAGCCCUCUCAUGUUGUAGAUGGACAAACUGAGGCCCAGAGAAGUUGGGGGGCUUGCUCAGGGCCACCAGGGAGUUAACAUAGAAUGAGAAUCUGGCCGCCUUGCAAGUCCCCAGCACCUGUUGACGGAACCCCAUCCCCCAAGCCUUCCCUGUUCCAUGGUCUAUUAGUCCUCCUCUGUCAGGUGGCCCAGGCAGAACCUCCACAGGGUUCUGCCCUGCUCACCUCUUCAGCCUCAACUCUCAUCCUCUCAGCUGCCGGAGUAAAGUACUUUGAUCGCUCAGAAGCCCCUGUGGGCCUUCACAUACUAACCCUCUGUUUGCUUCUCCUUCCCUCCCCUUGCCUGGCUGGCCUCUCUUCAUUCUUAGAGACCCAGGCAUCUGCUCAGCUGAGAUGCCUUCCCUGACCACAGUGCCCCUGCCAGACGCCUCCAUGAUCUGCCUCCAUGAGCCCUUUGAGCAUAGUGCCCUGCUCUAGACUGAACUUCUCCAGCACAGGCCCUGUGUCCUGUGCCCUCAGUGCCAAGUCAAUGGCUGUUCAUUGACCGACUGAAUGACCAGCAUAUCCAGCUGCCACACUGGGCACAUUGCCCUGGGCUAUCUCUCAACGCUUUUAUGUCCUCACCCUCAGCUCUGGUGAACUCAUUUCUGUCUCCUCCUACACCUCAGCAGUUGGAGCUGCUGGCCCAUGUGCCCAGGCCCUCCUAACACCUGUUUUCCCUGACUCAGAUUCCCUACAGUGGGGUUCCUCUGGGCACAUGACAUUUGCCUGCCAGGGUGACUGACAUUUAAAAAGGGGAGCCGAGGAAAGGAAACACUCAUGGUGGCGUCCAGGCAAGAGCAACUGGCCAAGGCGCCUUCCGGGAGGCCACAGUGAGCAGUUCUGUUUCCACGGGCAGGGCUGUGGGCCAGGCACAGUCCAGCAGACUCCCCAAGGCAGGGGGAGUACAGAAUUCCAGGCACCGCCCCACUGGGAAUAAGAGCAGGCUUCCCAGGAUAGGGUACUGAGCUACCACCCACUUCCUAGCUUGUUGCAGGGCACAGUGAGGCAGUGCUGAUGUAAACCUUCAGGGAUGCUGCUUAUUGGAAGAGGUUACAUUUGGUAGAAGAGGUACUGGCCUUGGUGGCAAGCAGGGCUCUCUACACUUGAUCCAGGCAAAUCAGCUCACCUCACUGAGCCUCGCUUUUCUUGUGCAUAUCAUGACCCUUAUUACACCUCCAUUUUACUGUGUGCAUUGCAUGAAAAAGUGCCCAUCUGUCUGCAGACCCUGGAGCUAGGCAUAGGGUGGUGGUUCUCCUGGUUCUGUAAAGGGCUUAGCCUGAAGGAUGCAAAGGUGUGGUCUGUUUGGGCUGGAUUUGAACUCAGUCUGUCGGUGAGCUUGCACAGUGUCCCUGGGGUUUAAGAACGCACCACUGAUUGAACUCUGCUCACAUGCCAGGCCCCACGUGGGGGCACCUUGUGAAAAGAUAUGUUUAUUGUGCAGCCUGAGGAGGAGGGCAUGGAGACUAGGGGCCUGGGUGUGAGUUUGGUACUUCCCUUACCCUGCACUGCUGGUACAGUGGGUGGUGGGGGCUGCCUGUCCCACCUUGCACAGUGGGGCUCAAAGGAAGCUGAGAGUGGAGACCCAGCUUGUACCCUGCCUCCCCGGGGGAGGUGUUCCCCCUUUGUGAGCCUGCUGCUGUCCUUCAAGCUGCCAAGGUGUCUGUUUGGGGAGGUGGCCCAGCACACACCCCAUGCUGCAUGGUUGGCAGCCACAGGCCUAAUGCAGGCCACACCCCAGUACUCCCUGAGCUGGCCUGGUUCAGGGCUCUUUACUGUCUUAGAAGAACACCUGCCAUUUGCUGAGGACCUGUGACACUCUGGGGACUUAACAUUUGGCCUCCCCCUCUGGGAACUUGCACAAAUAAAACGACCUUCAAGAUGCUUUAAGCACCCAUCCAAAAUGGCCCUUAAUUGACUUUUAAUUAUACUAACAGCAUGUGCAUUU